rnacentral:rRNA from 1 species
GACGAACGCUGGCGGCGUGCUUAACACAUGCAAGUCGAACGGAGUGGCGAACGGGUGAGUACCACGUGGGUGAUCUGCCUUGCAUUUCGGGAUAAGCUUGGGAAACUGGGUCUAAUACCGGAUAGUGCAAGAUGAGCUCGCGGCCUAUCAGCUUGUUGGUGGGGUAAUGGCCUACCAAGGCGUCGACGGGUAGCCGGCAUGAGAGGGUGUACGGCCACCUUGGGACUGAGAUACGGACCAGACUCCUACGGGAGGCAGCGGUGGGGAAUAUGGCACAGUGGGCGGAAGCCUGAUGCUGCGACGCCGGGUGGGGAAUGCAGGCCUUCGGGUUGUAAACUCCUUUCUAAAGGACCGCGGUACCUGUAUAGGAAGCACCGGCUAACUACGUGCCAGCAGCCGCGGUAAUUC